AGUGAACGCUGGCGGUAGGCCUAACACAUGCAAGUCGAACGGCAGCACAGUAAGAGCUUGCUCUUACGGGUGGCGAGUGGCGGACGGGUGAGGAAUACAUCGGAAUCUACUUUUUCGUGGGGGAUAACGUAGGGAAACUUACGCUAAUACCGCAUACGACCUACGGGUGAAAGCAGGGGAUCUUCGGACCUUGCGCGAUUGAAUGAGCCGCUGUCGGAUUAGCUAGUUGGCGGGGUAAAGGCCCACCAAGGCGACGAUCCGUAGCUGGUCUGAGAGGAUGAUCAGCCACACUGGAACUGAGACACGGUCCAGACCCCUACGGGAGGCAGCAGUGGGGAAUAUUGGACAAUGGGCGCAAGCCUGAUCCAGCCAUACCGCGUGGGUGAAGAAGGCCUUCGGGUUGUAAAGCCCUUUUGUUGGGAAAGAAAAGCAGCAGGUUAAUACCCCGCUGUUCUGACGGUACCCAAAGAAUAAGCACCGGCUAACUUCGUG
rnacentral:rRNA from 1 species